GAGUGAGUUCUUGCUCCAUUAGUUCCUGAUAUGGUUUGGCUGUGUACCCACCCAAAUCUCAUCUUGAAUUGUAGCUCCCGUAAUUCCCACAUGUUGUAGAAGGGACUCAGUGGGAAAUAAUUGAAUCAUGGGAGGGUUUCCCCUAUACUGUUCUCGUGGUAGUGAAUAAAUCUCAUGAGAUCUGAUGGUUUUAUAAGGGGUUUUCCCUUUUGCUUGACUCUCAUUCUCUCUUGUCUGCUGCCAUGUAAGUAGUGCCUUUGGCCUCCCACCAUGACUGUGAAGCCUCCCCAGUCAUGUGGAACUGCUCCACUUUGCAUUGCACCAUUAGUGGAAGCUUCCCGUGGCCCUCACCAGAAGCAAAUACUGGUGCCACACUUCCUGCACAGCCUGAAGAACCAUGGCCAAAUAAACCUCUUUUCUUUAUAAAUUAUCUAGCAUCAGGUAUUCCUUUAUAGCAACAAGAAGAAAACUAAGGCAUUACAUAAGGGCAUAUGAUAUAAUGAAUUCUAUAAAGAACUCGAGCAAAAUUGCAUCACCCAGGAUUUGAGAAUAUAUAUUUGACUGAUACAAAUAACACCAUUUGAAGACAGGAGGAUUGUGUAGAAAAAUGUAAAAAUGCACAGCCAGCCUUUGUUAAGAGCUGUGAGUGUCAAUGUAUUUGGGACUUUAGGUUUGGAAAUUUGACUUCCAACACCAACCAGACUGAAGAUAGCACCACUCUUUCUAGACUGAAUCUUGGAGAAAUGAGUUUCCCAGAACCUCUGAUGCCCACCAUCAGAAAAGGGGAAUCCCAACAGCCAUUGCAAUUUGACAUUAUUAUAAAUGAGACCUUAGUUCCUGUGAAAAUGCCAUUAAAGCUUUGCUUUCAGUUUGUCUUGUUUUAGUCUGUUCUGUUUUGACUUACCAUUUUUGUGGUUGGUUUUAUUUGUUUUUUCACCAGUUGUGGUCAUUUCUCCAAGAGGUUUCAAUGAAGUUUCUUAUGAUUAUUUCAACAUACCAUGUCUGCUUCUAUUCUGAGUUUAUUUACACAAAGUGGCU
rnacentral:lncRNA from 10 species